rnacentral:lncRNA from 1 species
GGUAGCUUACCCUUCUCUUGAGCACUUAAAGCAGUGGUCAGCGUUGUCAGUUGAUUUCUUAUUUCAUCAUUGAUUUUAGCUUGACCUUGCAUGAAAGAUUGCAAAGUUUCUUCAAGACUGGGUUUUUGAGGGGGUGCGUGUGCAUAAUGAGGUUGCGGAGGUGGAAGAGNNNNNNNNNNNNNNNNNNNNCGACAUUAGACUUGAGGAUUUGGUUGUAGUUGAGCUGGUUAGCUUACCCUUCUCUUGAGCACUUAAAGCAGUGGUCAGCGUUGUCAGUUGAUUUCUUAUUUCAUCAUUGAUUUUAGCUUGACCUUGCAUGAAAGAUUGCAAAGUUUCUUCAAGACUGGGUUUUUGAGGGGGUGCGUGUGCAUAAUGAGGUUGCGGAGGUGGAAGAGUUGGGUUAUAUACUUGUUGAGGUUGGUCAUUCCUCCACCUGAAAUUUGGAUGGUUCUUCCAUCCAGGGUUGUAGGUACC